rnacentral:lncRNA from 1 species
AGUCAUGAUAACUUCUAAUUCAUUGUCAGUAUGACUACAAAUUAUUGAAACAGUUGGGAUAACUCAGAAUUUUGUGUUUAUGUCUUCUCAACUAGUGAAAAGUUUUCAAACUAAGAAACAUGAUUCAAUUGAAAUUAAGAAUGUCAGUCAAAAGGAUGUACGGAUAAUCGCUUCUGUCAUUGGCUGCCUACGUCAGCCAAUGACAGUCCAAAAAAACCGUUGACAGGCAAAAAACCUUUCUGCUGCCGCUCAUUUUCACCAUAUCGAAGUCGGUUCGGUAGUUUGGAUUACCCUGCUAGAAUCAGAGAUCUCUAAAAUAGAUAGUUUAUUUGAAAAUAAAAGAGAGAAAACUAUUUUUUAAAGCCUUUUCUGGAUAUCUCUGAUAUAGUGAAACUUCAGUGUAACUGCGUGUCGCGCGUGACCCCGCCACUCUAUCUCCAGCGCGAGGCCGAGCUGAUGGCCGAGCAGUGCACCGGGCAGAUGAGCUCAAUGUGACGGAGAAACCCACAGCCGUCGCACAGAGAAGAGACACUCUCCUUUCUCCUCAGGAAGAAACUGGUGCCUGCUCCACAGUUUGUCAUCACGGUCCUGGUCUGAUAUGCUCCAUUUCGCCUCCUCUUGAUCAAUGAGAUGGAUAUGUACGUUUUACACGUACGUCACAAGAAAUCGUCGAAGAAUCCUAGAACACUACAGAUCCAGACAUGGUCACUAUGGAAGAAGACUAGCUCUCCCCUGCAUUUACAGCGAUUGUGUGUGCUAUUUCCCAUCACAAAAGGCUCUCCAAACACAUAAUUCCAACCAAAGAAAAGAGGAUGUCAUUCUGAGGGGCCUGCCGUAUUUCCUCCGUGAAGAUCCUUCAAAGUUCCUCAGGACUGCAGAGCCCACAGACAUGGAGGACAGCAUGACUAGGGGAAUGAAUGUCGGCAUUGUCGUAGUCAAACAAGGAGAGGAUCUUCUUGACAUAUCGGUGGUCCUAGAGGAACAGAUCAUUCUGCAUGGAAUCAAGGACUACUCGCAUGCAGUAGUUAUGUUAAUGGGGCUGCUAUAUGCACUGAACAUUGACUACCCGAAGGAGCUGCAAUACACCUUUGAAGUCAUUCAGAAGGUUCUCAUGAACAUCGGCAGUGAGAACUGCUCUGCCAGGGUUCAUGGACUGAGGAAUAGACUUUUUCGUAAAACUGUGUAGACACUACACUGAGACUGAGAGUUUUCUUUUGAGUUCUGUUACUACUAUUCUGUUACUACUAUCUGUUACUAGUUCAUUGCUAUUGUAAUGGUCACUGACAUUCUCAGUUGCAAGAGUUGACAGAAGUAGACUGGGUUUGAGGUCUUUCCUGGAAAGUCUUUUUGACCUGUUUGGUUCUGCAUCAUUUUAUUUUAUAUUUUUCUCAUGUUAUGACAGACGUAAUGAGUAGAGAACUAAUUUGUGUUAUUGUAAUAUUCUAAAUAGACACACACACACACACGGCUCUCUCAUUUUUUUUGUAUACAUCCCAUAUCUGCUUCCUCUGGUCUCAUCUCCCAUAUUGCUAAUUAAUGUUUUAUUUUCUCUUUAAUAAAACAGUGACACACACACACACACCUCUGUUUAAAUAUUUCUCUCCCGCCUGCCUCACUUCCCCUCACUUCAUCUUGUCAUUGCCUGUCAGUAGGGAUCCUUCUCUUGCUGGUACUCAAUGGACGUAAUGAGUACUCAUUUGUGUUAUUCUAAAGAGGAGAUGUUUUACCCAUAAGCUUGUGCUGUUUUUGGGGACGUUUUGUACUUGAUGGGAUGUGUUGCUGUGUUUACCUUGCCCAUCUGGUUUAUUAAAGCUUUGAAGAACUGGAAUUGAUUUGGUUUCUUUGGAACAACCAAUAACCUAUAGAGAU